GAUGAACGCUGGCGGCGUGCCUAAUACAUGCAAGUCGAGCGAACAGACGAGGAGCUUGCUCCUCUGACGUUAGCGGCGGACGGGUGAGUAACACGUGGAUAACCUACCUAUAAGACUGGGAUAACUUCGGGAAACCGGAGCUAAUACCGGAUAAUAUAUUGAACCGCAUGGUUCAAUAGUGAAAGACGGUUUUGCUGUCACUUCUAGAUGGAUCCGCGCCGCAUUAUCUAGUUGGUAAGGUAACGGCUUACCAAGGCAACGAUGCGUAGCCGACCUGAGAGGGUGAUCGGCCACACUGGAACUGAGACACGGUCCAGACUCCUACGGGAGGCAGCAGUAGGGAAUCUUCCGCAAUGGGCGAAAGCUUGACGGAGCAACGCCGCGUGAGUGAUGAAGGUCUUCGGAUCGUAAAACUCUGUUAUUAGGGAAGAACAAAUGUGUAAGUAACUAUGCACGUCUUGACGGUAACUAAUCAGAAAGCCACGGCUAACUACGUG
rnacentral:rRNA from 1 species